GAUGAACGCUGGCGGCGUGCCUAACACAUGCAAGUCGAGCGAACAGACGAGGAGCUUGCUCCUCUGACGUUGGCGGCGGACGGGUGAUUAACAUGGGGAUAACAUACCUAUAAGAAACGGAUAAAAUCGUGAAACCCGAGCUAAUACGGGAUAAUAUAUUGAACCGCAUGGGUCAAGAGUGUAAGCCGGUUUUGCUGUCACUUAUAGAUUAAUCCGCGCCGCAUUAGUUAGUUGGCAAGGAAGCGGCUUAACAAGGCAACGAUGCGUACCCGACCUGAGAGGGUGAUCCGCCACACUGGAACUGAGACACGGUCCAGACUCCUACGGGAGGCAGCAGUAGGGAAUCUUCCGCAAUGGACGAAAGCCUGACGGAGCAACGCCGCGUGAAUGAUGAAGGUCUUCGGAUCGUAAAACUCUGUUGUUAGGAAAGAACAAAUGUGUAAGUAACUAUGCACGUCAUGACGGUACCGAAAGAAAAAGCCCCGGCUAACUACGUG
rnacentral:rRNA from 1 species